ACUUCUGGUACUGAAAUUUAUUUCUGUUUUAGACCGUCACACUCCCAAGCUACUGACGCUAUUUCGUGCCAAAGAUGGAGCACUUGGAAGAAGACUGGAGAUCAUAAUGGAACUGCUGCAGUUGGUGAAUUCCUCCCCAGCACUCUUCGAUUGAGAGGACCAGAGAAGUUGUUCUUCGGUAUCUUAUAGAAUACCUUGGAGAACAAGGGGGACAUCUUAUCAAAGAAUUCAACGACACUGAGAACUUGGAGGAACUUGAACAGCUCAUAAUGGCCAUUACUGUGACCCCAAAGCCUGGAGCUUCUACAAGCAACAGCCCAAAGAUCAUUGGGAUCAUCAUAGAGGGCGUGGAAGUCAUCACAGGACUUGGAGAUAUUGCAAGGGCUUGCUCUGUCCUCCUUGGCUUGACCUAUGCGCUGAAUCUAGAUUAUCCCAGACAGCC